GCCGGGGUAGCUCAGCGGUAGAGCUCCCGCCUGAAGAGCGGGGAGUCGCGGGUUCAACUCCUGCCUCUGGCACCA
rnacentral:tRNA from 1 species